AAAUUAGUCAAUCAGCAAAUAUUUAUUCUAUGCACAUACAUAUUCAAGGUAUUAAGUUGGGCUUAAAGAGUAUACUUACUUUGACUUUAAGUCAACAAAUACAAUUUUCUACUAAAAAUAUACUUCUCUAUAAAAAUAUAAUCUCAAAAUAGCAAAUAAACAGUCUAGGAUAGGAGACUCUUAAAAGCUAUCUCUGUAAACUACAGUAAAUCUCUUUUCUUUUGGAAAGGAGAUCAACUCAGAAACUCAACUUUGCAAUGAAUAGAUACAGUAUAAAUAUAGUCUUUAUUUAAAUUUUAUGACAAGCAGUAAGUAGAUAUUUUCUAACCUCCUUACGUUAGUGCUUUGCAGUCACUAUCAAUAAUUUUUUUACUCAAAUAUUUUCAUUAACUACAUUUGGAAAUUGAGGCCCAUGUUUUCAAAUUAAAAUUUUAACUAAAGUUUUAUUGAUGGAGUUGAGAAUUUUAUUUCCAAAAUUGUCCUCGUUGGAUAGAAAGGCUUUUGAUAAGCAGAUAAUGGAGGAAAGACUCUCCCUUGAACAAACCAACCACUCUAAACUCUGUUACCUUCUCCAGAAUGGGAGAAGAGUUAUCGUAUAGAUUCCUGCUGAUCCUCACGGCUGUCUAGGAGUUCAGUCCUUUACAAUCCUGAUGCUGAAAUAGUUUUACAUGAAGUAAGAAAGAAAAUGGCUUCACAGAACUUGGAGUAGAGUGUGACUCAGAAUAGGUGUUCUAUAUGUGACAAUAGUUGUUGACAAAUAUGACUAUGCAAAUAUCAACUACACACCUAUGUAUACUUUUUCUUCCCUUCUGCCAAAGCCCGUUUGUGAAAUCCAGUUCAUUGGGCCCAACUCCUUCUGAUUCAUUUUCAAGAGUGAUUUCUGUCUCAGGACCCACAUCCUAUGCCAUUAAAUAUUGCCAUGAAGGUUAUUUAAGAGCAAAGAAAAUUUGAAGUUUGGAGUGUGCUCUUUAAUCAAGGCUGUGGUUUCUGCAUCUGGAAUCAUUUGGUUAUUCAGAAAAGUCUGAUUUGUGUCUGAUUUUUUAUAACUUUUUACCAAUAAGUUAUUUCCAAAAAAUGAACGCAGGUUUUGAAAUAAUAGUGCUUUUAAUUUUCACUUUCAAUACUAAGUAUAUAUGCAUUUUUAGACCAUUGCUUAUUUGAACCCAUGAUAGUUACAUAAUCGGAAUGUGAUUUUCUGCAGAUUUUCAACAGUAUGCUGUCAUCUUUUCAAGCAGAGGAAGUAAGAGAUUUGGAGUUAUGAAUAAAAGACAUUUUAUUCCUGGCUCUUCA
rnacentral:lncRNA from 1 species